UGUAAGCGUAUACCAAAGUUGUUGCAGUUAAAACGCUCGUAGUCGGAAUUUGGCAGUUCCGGAUGUGUGCACGUCGUGUGCGCACUUCGCGGGGACUGCUUUUGUGGUCUUGCGUAGGAUGAGGCACUUUUAUUAGUGAACGUCCUCACGCAACCACUUUUUACUGUGAGAAAAUCAGAGUGCUCAAAGCAGGCAUUUGCCGUGAAUGUAUUAGCAUGGAAUAAUAGAAUAGGACUUGGUUCUAUUUUGUUGGUUUGUUGGGACUGAGUAAUGAUUAAGAGGGACAGUUGGGGGCAUUUGUAUUUCGGCGCUAGAGGUGAAAUUCUUAGAUUACCGAAAGACAAACUGCUGCGAAAGCGUCUGCCAAGGAUGUUUUCAUUGA
rnacentral:rRNA from 1 species